CGACCGGACUGGGCCUUGCCUUCGGGCCGCACAGGAAGCGGGUGGGGAGCCCACACGGAAUAUUCCCCGCCUCCGCCUUCGCCCUUCUUUUGACCGCGCAGGCGCAGGUAAACGAAAACUCGUUCCUGGGAGCAGCAAGUCUGCUUUAUGGGUACAAGUCCCCCUUGCCCCUUACACUGAGCCAAGCAGAGAAAUCCCAUUUCUGAGUGACCAGAUCCCUGAAGACAAGCUGAGCGGAGGAAACAGCUUUCCUUGUCGCCUUUUCAAGAAAGAGCCGUCUAAUUCAACCAGUCCCGUAGCAACCCAACCAUAGGUCCCACGGAGACCUCCCAGACACAACCAAGUUCUGCCUGGGCCUCCGCUAGUCAGCAGCUUUCUGGCAUGCUGCUGAUUACCCACCUCCCACCCCACUUGCCAUCUCCAGCUGGGUUCAGCACCCCUGAAGGUCAAGUUUACAGUCUGUCUUACUCUUUUUAGACAGCCUUACCUCGUAACAUGCAUUACACAGUCAGUAGUUGUCAGGGUGCAUGGAAAGAGGAGUAUUCUUUACACAACAAAAUUCCUGGACCUGAACCCCAGCUC